CGAAGGUGGCAAGCGUUGUUCGGAUUUACUGGGCGUACAGGGAGCGUAGGCGGUUGGAUAAGCCCUCCGUGAAAUCUCCAGGCUUAACCUGGAAAGUGCAGAGGGGACUGUUCAGCUAGAGGAUGGGAGAGGAGCGCGGAAUUCCCGGUGUAGCGGUGAAAUGCGUAGAGAUCGGGAGGAAGGCCGGUGGCGAAGGCGGCGCUCUGGAACAUCUGACGCUGAGGCUCGAAAGCGUGGGGAGCAAACAGGAUUAGAUACCCUGGUAGUCCACGCCUUAAACGAUGGAUACGUAAGUGUCGGCGGGUUACCGCCGGUGCCGCAGCUAACGCAGUAAGUAUCCCGCCUGGGAAGUACGGCCGCAAGGUUG
rnacentral:rRNA from 1 species